GCCAUCGGCUCACCUCUCCUUUGAUUGGUCACUAUAGCAACAUCACCAUGGCAAUCAGAGAGCUUUGACUUGGAUUCUAUUCAUGACUGUGCGCUGACAUGGAAAUUUCAAAUCUGUUAUUUGCUGUCAUGCACUGACAGAUGGCUGCUGCUCACUGCUGCUCGGCUUCCACUCUUGUGUUGGGGGCGCACAAACACAACCUCACCUGUGCGCAACUGGACCCACUCAAACAACCAACAUCCUCUACAGCUCUGAGAGGCGGACACUGGCGGUUGGAGCCAUGGAGGCGGCGUGGCACAAGAGAGCAGGAAUCCUGUGUGAGGGCUGAUGGAAGCAGCUGACAGGGGGGAUGGCAGACUGAGAUGUGCUGUUAAUGAGGAAAAGGAGCUUCUGGUUGAGGACUACCAGGGAGGCAGCAGGAGUCCUGCUGGUGAAUCAGCUGACACCCACAGGAAGGCUGGGGCGAGGAGAGCAGGUGGAACAGGUAGAGCGACUCGCCGGCAGACUCCACCCUCCCUCCGCCUGCGCCCCUCUCGCUCUGGGAUGCCAGUCGUUUGCAUGACAAUGGAGUUAGCCUGACGGGUGGAUCCGGGGCAGAACAGGUCGUCCUACAACCCUCGUCUCAUGUUUAUGCAGCUGCAGGACCAGAUUGGAUUUACCAGAUUUUCAGGAAAACAUUCUCCAAACCCAGACCGGUUUCUGGGUAGUUAGGAUUCAGAAAACACAUUUUUUUUAGGACAGGUUUACUAGAAAGAAUGUUUGGAGCCAUCAGAGAACUCAAAAUUCAGAUUUUGUAGUUUAUUCCCCUAAAUUUAAUAAAAGACUGAGCAUUUCCAUAUUUUAUGAAGUGUAAGUCCUUCCAGAAUCUAGAGCAGGUCAUGUGAGGUGAAUCAAUUUUAGAUAAAUCUUCUCAUUUAGCUGCAUAUUUUCAUGAAAUAUAUGAAUCGUGUUCUUUUUCCAAAGAAGCUCUCGAGUUCUGUGGCAUCAGAACAUUUUUGUGAAACUAUUAUAAUGCAGGUAAGGACAGCUCCAGGUCUCAAAGUUCUCUUGCUCUUUCUUUAGCUCCUCCUUCUUCCCCUGAACACACCAGGGAAUCGAUAACAAGUAGGCCAAGGAUAUCUGUAGGAGGUGGGAGGGCCAUAUCAUUAACCCUCCUCCUCCACCCGACCUUCCACAUGAAAGUGAGACGGCUAUGGUUACCUGGACGACCAAGCUCCAAAAGCGAGUUGGGUCGCUCCUUCUGUUUUUUGUUUUUUUUUUUUUAUUUUCAAUGCUCCACCGUCUAAGGAAGAGAUGCCAUGAAGAUUUUUGGAUGCUUUGGGAUUCCAAAAUUUUGUAGCAAAAUAAUAAAAAAAAAAUCUUGAAACAAUCUAUUAAGAUGCAUAAAUGUGUACCAAUCUCGCCAAAAAUGUACGAGUUCCUGUUGAUGCACAUCUGUGUAAAAUAAUCAACAUUGAGUUUGCUCCUUUGUGAAGUAAAAAAAAAAAAACAAAAAGA